rnacentral:rRNA from 1 species
GACGAACGCUGGCGGCGUGCUUAACACAUGCAAGUCGAACGGUGAAAGGGAGCUUGCUCCCUGGAUCAGUGGCGAACGGGUGAGUAACAUGUGGGCAACCUGCCCCAGACUUCGGGAUAACGCUUCGAAAGAGGUGCUAAUACCGGAUACGAACUCCUUGGGCAUCCUGGGAGUUGGAAAGUUUUUCGGUCUGGGAUGGGCCCGCGGCCUAUCAGCUUGUUGGUGAGGUAACGGCUCACCAAGGCGACGACGGGUAGCCGGCCUGAGAGGGCGCCCGGCAACGCUGGGAGUGGGACACGGCCCAGACUCCGACGGGAGGCAGCAGUGGGGAAUAUUGCGCGAUGGGCGAAAGCCUGACGCAGCAACGCCGCGUGAGGGAUGACGGCCUUGGGGUUGUAAACCUCUUUCAGCAGGGAAGAAGCGAAAGUGACGGUACCUGCAGAAGAAGCACCGGCUAACUACGUGCCAGCAGCCGCCGUAA